rnacentral:miRNA from 1 species
UGAGUUGGCCAUCUGAGCGAG